ACACUGGCGGAGUUAGUUUUUUUUAUUGGAUUAUUUACUUUAUAUUUUUAGUUUAGUUUUAUACAUUUACAUCCCGCACUGAAUGUAAACCAGGGCGGAAAUCAGUUCCGGCGGCUUCGCGCAUGCGCGAUUCAUUUUCAGUCUGGACGCGGAGGGGUGAACAUCUCCUCUGACUGCUGCGAGAGGACUGGGCCGCAUGUGAGUGCUUUGGGACGGUGUGGGGCCCACGGCAGCACCCGCUGCUCGUUGAGAAGAGUAAGAACGAUACGUGCUUUCACGUCAGUCUCCAAUAACACCAGAAAAAGUCGCUAGAUUUGUCGCUAGUCGCUUUUUUGAAAAAGUCUCGCUAGAGGGGUCUGAAUACUCGCUAAAUAUAGCGACAAAGUCGCUAAGUUGGCAACACUGCCCACAUUAGCUAAACAUGAAUAUACUAUAACCACAUUUCAUAUGCGUGUAUUACUAGCACAGAUGUAAACAUAAUCAGAUAAGAGAGAUCGGUUCCCAAUUUAGCCUUAACAUUAAGGUCUAACGUUAACUUACACAGCGACAACUGCCUUGUUCAGGGGCAGAACGACAGAUGUUUACCUUGUCAGCCCGGGGAUUUGAUGUCGUUUACCGGCCCAACGCUGUAACCCACAAGGCUACUUGCCUCUCCUGAAACCACCUACUUUGGCCGAGAACCAAUCAACAGAAUCAGGGCAGAACCUUCAGUGGACCAGCAUGGGUUGAAGGGGGGUUCAAUAUGUCUGGUUGUUCCAGAACCUCCUGAGAUGAUCAAAGGACUUCAAUGGAGGAAGGACAGUGAUGUAAUAUUUGGAGACAAAGAGAUCUCUCCUAAAUACAAGGAUAAGGUGGACUAUAACAAUGAUAACCAUUCUCUGUGUAUUAAGAAUCUAAUGGAAACUGACAGUGGAAUUUACAUGGUAAACUACAGGAAACAUUGGAAACAAUCAACUACUACAUAUAGACUGUUAGUGGAGGAUCAUGUUCCCAAACCAGUCAUGGAUGUCACAUCUCUCAACACAAGUGUGGGACUCUGUGAUGUCACAGUGAACUGUUCAGUUAAAGAUGGCUGGAUGUUGUCUGUCUGUGACAGCGGUCAGUGUACACUGUCACAACAGUCUCCGUCACUAACCGGUGGUAACAUGACCAUCUCCGUAUUGACUGGAAGGAUCCAAUGCACCAGCAGCAACCACGUCAGCACACAGACCAUCUCUCAACCCAUGGAGGACUGUAGUGGUAAUGUGAAAGCCUCAGUGUUACCAGUUGGCACCAUUGUGGGCUGUGUUACUGGUAUAUUACUCCUAGUUGCUGUGUUACUUGGUGUUGGAUACAUCAAACAUACCAGAAGACAGAAAAUCCCUAAAGAACAAAGUCCACUAGAAGAGGUCAUUGUUCCAAGAGUUUACAACUCAGUGAAGACCUCACCAGGGAGAGAAGAACCACAGCAUCUCCUUACCAGAACCACAGCCCUGUCCUGACCAGAACCACAGCACUCUCCUGUCCAGAACCACAUCACUCUCCUGUCCAGAACCACAUAUAUAUACAUUUUUAUAUUCCAUUUCAUGGAAGUUUCUUUAUCCAUGAAAUGAAGUGGGUGGAGAACAAACCCCUCUUCACAUUGUUACAGAUAGAAUUGAACCAUUAUUUUGAAAUGAUCAGUAAAAGUGGAAAUACAAAAAAGCAAUAUGUAUCAUAAAAUGUUUUGACAAACUGAAAAUGUAUCUUGACAUGUAGUACCCGUCUGUUAGUUCUUCUCACUGGUGGAUUUGGUGGUAUCCUGUAUAGCUUCCUGCAUUUACUCCCAGCAAGCACAAAACCCUUCAUAGAGUUGGUCCAUACUGACUGUCUCUGUCAUUUUGAGGGAAAACACCUGCUCCAGAUCAGUGAAGGAGAGGUUUUGUUGCAUGUUUAUCCAUAUUUCGUUGAUAUGCCAAACCGAGAGAACAACAACAGAAAUUACUUUGCAGGAAUUGGCGUGUUUACUGUGAUUUGAUGAAUAUACGGGACAAGGGAGGUCCCGUAUGGGACAAACCAAUUUAGCCCAAUAUAAGAGCCAUCCCGGCUAAUACGGGACAGUUGGCAACCCUAUUUGACGUUUUCAAAUUAAACUCUCAUUUAACGUGUGAAAUAGUGUUAUUUGACGCGUGUAUUUUUUUGACCCGCAAAGACUCAAACUGGGUUCCAUUCUGUAAAGCCUCGUUCACUUCAAAUCCAUUUGUUUUGCACAUCCAAUUCAAAACAUAUUUUUUCCUGCAGUCUGAACAGUCAAAUAGCACAUGGAAUAGGAUAUUUUAAGCUGCCUUCCUGGUGGUUUGAAGUCAGAUACAAAUAGGAUUACUGGCCAUGUGACUUGUUGAAUGGUCAAAUCUGAAGUGUACUUUUGUAUAUUAUCUACCUCACUUGCUUUGGCAAUGUUAACAUGUGUUUCCCAUGUCAAUAAAGCCCCUUGAAUUGAGACAAAAAGUGAGUAAAAAACACACAAAAAAUGUUCAGAACUACAAAUGAACUUUCUUCUGUCGAUUUUGGGUUGUAUAAUGUCACAAUUCCAACCCUCCUCCUUGAUCCGGGCUUGGGACCGGCAAAAGUGACCCGAAAGAGACACUGGCGGAGUUAGUUUUUUUUAUUGGAUUAUUUACUUUAUAUUUUUAGUUUAGUUUUAUACAUUUACAUCCCGCACUGAAUGUAAACCAGGGCGGAAAUCAGUUCCGGCGGCUUCGCGCAUGCGCGAUUCAUUUUCAGUCUGGACGCGGAGGGGUGAACAUCUCCUCUGACUGCUGCGAGAGGACUGGGCCGCAUGUGAGUGCUUUGGGACGGUGUGGGGCCCACGGCAGCACCCGCUGCUCGUUGAGAAGAGUAAGAACGAUACGUGCUUUCACGUCAGUCUCCAAUAACACCAGAAAAAGUCGCUAGAUUUGUCGCUAGUCGCUUUUUUGAAAAAGUCUCGCUAGAGGGGUCUGAAUACUCGCUAAAUAUAGCGACAAAGUCGCUAAGUUGGCAACACUGCCCACAUUAGCUAAACAUGAAUAUACUAUAACCACAUUUCAUAUGCGUGUAUUACUAGCACAGAUGUAAACAUAAUCAGAUAAGAGAGAUCGGUUCCCAAUUUAGCCUUAACAUUAAGGUCUAACGUUAACUUACACAGCGACAACUGCCUUGUUCAGGGGCAGAACGACAGAUGUUUACCUUGUCAGCCCGGGGAUUUGAUGUCGUUUACCGGCCCAACGCUGUAACCCACAAGGCUACUUGCCUCUCCUGAAACCACCUACUUUGGCCGAGAACCAAUCAACAGAAUCAGGGCAGAACCUUCAGUGGACCAGCAUGGGUUGAAGGGGGGUUCAAUAUGUCUGGUUGUUCCAGAACCUCCUGAGAUGAUCAAAGGACUUCAAUGGAGGAAGGACAGUGAUGUAAUAUUUGGAGACAAAGAGAUCUCUCCUAAAUACAAGGAUAAGGUGGACUAUAACAAUGAUAACCAUUCUCUGUGUAUUAAGAAUCUAAUGGAAACUGACAGUGGAAUUUACAUGGUAAACUACAGGAAACAUUGGAAACAAUCAACUACUACAUAUAGACUGUUAGUGGAGGAUCAUGUUCCCAAACCAGUCAUGGAUGUCACAUCUCUCAACACAAGUGUGGGACUCUGUGAUGUCACAGUGAACUGUUCAGUUAAAGAUGGCUGGAUGUUGUCUGUCUGUGACAGCGGUCAGUGUACACUGUCACAACAGUCUCCGUCACUAACCGGUGGUAACAUGACCAUCUCCGUAUUGACUGGAAGGAUCCAAUGCACCAGCAGCAACCACGUCAGCACACAGACCAUCUCUCAACCCAUGGAGGACUGUAGUGGUAAUGUGAAAGCCUCAGUGUUACCAGUUGGCACCAUUGUGGGCUGUGUUACUGGUAUAUUACUCCUAGUUGCUGUGUUACUUGGUGUUGGAUACAUCAAACAUACCAGAAGACAGAAAAUCCCUAAAGAACAAAGUCCACUAGAAGAGGUCAUUGUUCCAAGAGUUUACAACUCAGUGAAGACCUCACCAGGGAGAGAAGAACCACAGCAUCUCCUUACCAGAACCACAGCCCUGUCCUGACCAGAACCACAGCACUCUCCUGUCCAGAACCACAUCACUCUCCUGUCCAGAACCACAUAUAUAUACAUUUUUAUAUUCCAUUUCAUGGAAGUUUCUUUAUCCAUGAAAUGAAGUGGGUGGAGAACAAACCCCUCUUCACAUUGUUACAGAUAGAAUUGAACCAUUAUUUUGAAAUGAUCAGUAAAAGUGGAAAUACAAAAAAGCAAUAUGUAUCAUAAAAUGUUUUGACAAACUGAAAAUGUAUCUUGACAUGUAGUACCCGUCUGUUAGUUCUUCUCACUGGUGGAUUUGGUGGUAUCCUGUAUAGCUUCCUGCAUUUACUCCCAGCAAGCACAAAACCCUUCAUAGAGUUGGUCCAUACUGACUGUCUCUGUCAUUUUGAGGGAAAACACCUGCUCCAGAUCAGUGAAGGAGAGGUUUUGUUGCAUGUUUAUCCAUAUUUCGUUGAUAUGCCAAACCGAGAGAACAACAACAGAAAUUACUUUGCAGGAAUUGGCGUGUUUACUGUGAUUUGAUGAAUAUACGGGACAAGGGAGGUCCCGUAUGGGACAAACCAAUUUAGCCCAAUAUAAGAGCCAUCCCGGCUAAUACGGGACAGUUGGCAACCCUAUUUGACGUUUUCAAAUUAAACUCUCAUUUAACGUGUGAAAUAGUGUUAUUUGACGCGUGUAUUUUUUUGACCCGCAAAGACUCAAACUGGGUUCCAUUCUGUAAAGCCUCGUUCACUUCAAAUCCAUUUGUUUUGCACAUCCAAUUCAAAACAUAUUUUUUCCUGCAGUCUGAACAGUCAAAUAGCACAUGGAAUAGGAUAUUUUAAGCUGCCUUCCUGGUGGUUUGAAGUCAGAUACAAAUAGGAUUACUGGCCAUGUGACUUGUUGAAUGGUCAAAUCUGAAGUGUACUUUUGUAUAUUAUCUACCUCACUUGCUUUGGCAAUGUUAACAUGUGUUUCCCAUGUCAAUAAAGCCCCUUGAAUUGAGACAAAAAGUGAGUAAAAAACACACAAAAAAUGUUCAGAACUACAAAUGAACUUUCUUCUGUCGAUUUUGGGUUGUAUAAUGUCACAAUUCCAACCCUCCUCCUUGAUCCGGGCUUGGGACCGGCAAAAGUGACCCGAAAGAGACACUGGCGGAGUUAGUUUUUUUUAUUGGAUUAUUUACUUUAUAUUUUUAGUUUAGUUUUAUACAUUUACAUCCCGCACUGAAUGUAAACCAGGGCGGAAAUCAGUUCCGGCGGCUUCGCGCAUGCGCGAUUCAUUUUCAGUCUGGACGCGGAGGGGUGAACAUCUCCUCUGACUGCUGCGAGAGGACUGGGCCGCAUGUGAGUGCUUUGGGACGGUGUGGGGCCCACGGCAGCACCCGCUGCUCGUUGAGAAGAGUAAGAACGAUACGUGCUUUCACGUCAGUCUCCAAUAACACCAGAAAAAGUCGCUAGAUUUGUCGCUAGUCGCUUUU